AGUAAGAAUAGAUAAGACAAUUACGAAUUACAGCUACAAUAGUUGAUAAUCCUUGAAGACAGACAGUCCCAGCAUGGUGGAAUUGACAGCAUUUUACUGGUUACAUGGAAGAAAUAAGAGUUCAUGUGCUAUCAAUUUAAUUUAGUGGAUAAGAUUUCAUGUUUAACUGGCUACCGCAAGGUGGGGCUGGUGGUCUAAGUUUUCUGCUUUGUGUGAGAGACUAUACUAAGCAAAGCAACUGCUGAUGUUGACAAAGGGGUCCAUGAUGAGACUAGUUUCUUUUAGGUGGUUCUGUUUUUUGAAAAUAUGGGCUUGGAUAAAGAAACUAUUGGGAGAAUUAUUUUUCGCUGCCAGCAUUGAUAAAACUCUUUAGAGGAAGAUUGAAUUCCUUUCUAGGGUUGGCGUUUUUUAAGCUUAUUUUCCUGGGAUAA